ensembl:rRNA 5S_rRNA 5S ribosomal RNA
GCUUACGGCCAUACCACCCUGAAAACGCCUGAUCUCGGAAGCAAACCACAGUCGGGCCUGGUCAGUACUUGGAUGAGAAACCGCCUGGGAAUACCAGGUGCUGUAAGCU